UACAGAGGUCCCAAGCGUUGUUCGGAUUCACUGGGCGUAAAGGGUGCGCAGGCGGUUCGCUGUGUCCGAUGUGAAAGCCCCGGGCUUAACCUGGGAAUGGCAUUGGAAACUGGCGGGCUUGAGUGCGGCAGAGGGGGGUGGAAUUCCGGCGUGUAGCAGUGAAAUGCGUAGAGAUGCGGAGGAACACCGAUGGCGAAGGCAGCCCCCUGGGUCGACACUGACGCUCAGGCACGAAAGCGUGGGGAGCAAACAGG
rnacentral:rRNA from 1 species